rnacentral:rRNA from 1 species
CAGUCGCCGCGGUAAUACGUAGGUGGCAAGCGUUGUCCGGAAUUAUUGGGCGUAAAGGGCUCGCAGGCGGUUUCUUAAGUCUGAUGUGAAAGCCCCCGGCUCAACCGGGGAGGGUCAUUGGAAACUGGGAAACUUGAGUGCAGAAGAGGAGAGUGGAAUUCCACGUGUAGCGGUGAAAUGCGUAGAGAUGUGGAGGAACACUAGUGGCGAAGGCGACUCUCUGGUCUGUAACUGACGCUGAGGAGCGAAAGCGUGGGGAGCGAACAGGAUUAGAUACCCGUGUAGUCCCUGUCUCUUAUAC